GGGCUCGUAGCUCAGUUGGCUAGAGCGUUACGUUGACAUCGUAAAGGUCACCCGUUCGAGUCGGGUCGGGCCCAC
rnacentral:tRNA from 1 species